UACGUAGGGGGCGAGCGUUAUCCGGAAUUACUGGGCGUAAAGCGCACGCAGGCGGUUCGCCAAGUUUGGAGUGACAGUUGUCGGCUCAACCGACAAAGGACUUCAAAAACUGGUGAACUUGAGGACGAGAGAGGAACAUGGAACUCCAGGUGUAGUAGUGAAAUGCGUAGAUAUCUGGAAGAACACCAAUGGCGAAGGCAAUGUUCUGGCUCGUUUCUGACGCUCAGGUGCGAAAGCCAGGG
rnacentral:rRNA from 1 species